rnacentral:rRNA from 1 species
UACGUAGGGUGCGAGCGUUAAUCGGCAUUACUGGGCGUAAAGCGUGCGCAGGCGGCGCGUUAAGACAGGUGUGAAAGCCCCGAGCUUAACUUGGGAAUUGCGCUUGUGACUGGCGUGCUGGAGUGUGGCAGAGGGAGGUGGAAUUCCACGUGUAGCAGUGAAAUGCGUAGAGAUGUGGAGGAACACCGAUGGCGAAGGCAGCCUCCUGGGCCAGCACUGACGCUCAUGCACGAAAGCGUGGGGAGCAAACAGG